AGGAUGGAAGAGGAGAGGAUAUUUCAGUGCCUUCCUUUGCAGGCAAUGCCAGGGGAAGGCAUCCUGAUGCGCAGCAGUGCAAGGAGCUCGGUGGUAGCAGGGCUCUGGGAUCCCUGGGGUGUAAACCUCAGUCUCAGUGUAAGCAUGUAUCUCCAGCAGAGUGGAAAGAAAUGCACAUCUCCUAUUUCCCCAAGGAGCUUUCAGGAUUUCCGAGAGAUCUCCCACCCUGCACCCAAAAGAAAAUCACUUCUGUUUUACAGUGGAGGUUGAAUUCACCCCGAAAAGCAUAAGCCCAACAUUGCCUCCUUCCCCAGAUGUCAGGAUGGCUGCUUGGACUGCUCACUCCCAUUCUGCCCCUUGGAAAAUGAUCAAGAUAGGAUAUUUGGACACAGAUUCUUCCUGACACAUUAUGCCUCUUAGCAAACCACAUUUUGCAGUGAAGAUCCGUUAAUUAUAUGCUUACUUUUAAUAAAUCCAUUCAAGUGCCACUAUAGGAUUCCUGGCAGAUGUGGGAUCCAUCCCAUCUCCACGGAGCCACCAACCCCGCAGAUGAGAGAGCUGGCACCACAGGCUGGGGAACACUGAGCAUUCUGGCACUCUUGCAUGAGUGUGUUUGGAAAGUGUUUUCAGUUCCUCAGAGCACCUUGUAAUUGAAUCAGAUAAACACACGGAAGGCACUGUGAUUUUCAGGUGCUGCUGAGCGCCAGCUGUAUGAUUACAGCAAAUCUUUCAGGUCCUCUGAGCUUGCUGACAGUGACUUAUUUUGGUAUUUGUACGAGCUGCUGUUUGUGAUGGAGGAGUUCACAGGGCAAUAAACAGGAUAAAAAGCCAGGCUGACGAACCUGAUUACUGUAAAAUCCAUUUAUUUCAAGUACACCAGUUACUUCUAUUAUGGGGCAUUUUGGAAAUAAUUCUGCAUCUUGAAGUAGUUUAAAGAAGAUUAAUUUUCAAAGGGAAAAACGAUUCUCAGAUCCAUUUUAUCUGCUUCUCGGACAAAGCGUGAAAUUAGGAGCUUAUCUACAAUCACUAAAAUUGAAGGCAGGUCUUUCCCUUGGCUUCAGUGGGUUAUAAAUCAAACUGGAUACAAAUACAGCGCAGUCCAUUGUGAUGAUUGAUAUGUGGAGCGAUGGGCUGGAGACACAUGCUGCCACUAAGCAUGGAGGUGUCACCUGUCAAGUAACAGCUUCACUGUGCUCAGUGGCAGAGAGCCCACCUGGGGGCUUCACAGCUCACCCAAGAGCUUUCUGGAUGGCUGGGAGGUAUCAAAUGCAUUCUCCCAACAGAAAUUUCUGUUUCGCUGCAUCCUUCCUUUCCUAAUGCCAAGUUCUUGCUACUACUGAAUCAAUGAAUUUUUUUAGACUGAAUUUUCAGUGUUAACCCAGAAAAGAACUGAUGAUAGUGUUAAACCAGAAGCCCUCUUUACUGUGCAUGGACUAAAAUUCCCUUGGAUUUUUGAUUCUUUUUGAUUCUCUGCUCUAUUGUUCUUCAUUUUGGACAGACCCUUCUG